UACGUAGGGCGCGAGCGUUGUCCGGAUUUAUUGGGCGUAAAGAGCUCGUAGGCGGCUUGUCGCGUCGACUGUGAAAUCCCGCGGCUCAACCGCGGGUCUGCAGUCGAUACGGGCAGGCUAGAGUUCGGUAGGGGAGACUGGAAUUCCUGGUGUAGCGGUGAAAUGCGCAGAUAUCAGGAGGAACACCGAUGGCGAAGGCAGGUCUCUGGGCCGAUACUGACGCUGAGGAGCGAAAGCGUGGGGAGCGAACAGG
rnacentral:rRNA from 1 species